UACGUAGGGCGCAAGCGUUGUCCGGAAUUAUUGGGCGUAAAGAGCUCGUAGGCGGUUCCGUAAGUCGGAUGUGAAAAACUCGGGGCUCAACCCCGAGACGCCAUCCGAUACUGCGGUGACUUGAGUCUGGUAGGGGAACACGGAAUUCCUGGUGUAGCGGUGAAAUGCGCAGAUAUCAGGAGGAACACCGAUGGCGAAGGCAGUGUUCUGGGCCAGUACUGACGCUGAGGAGCGAAAGCGUGGGGAGCAAACAGG
rnacentral:rRNA from 1 species